CAUACCCCGAAAAUGAUGGUUUAAGUCCUUCCCUUACUA
rnacentral:tRNA from 1 species